rnacentral:lncRNA from 1 species
AUCAAUAGUUUUCGUAGUAAGUAGCUUCAUCAUGAUGAACCGUUCAUUUUUUUAUGCAUAAGAAUAGCUAAAAAAUCUCCAUAUAAUGAACUUUUGCAUAUGAUCUUUAGAUAAUGAUAUUUUACACAAAAUCCGGUCAAAUUUUAUACACGGAAAAAAAUACUACUAACCAAAUUGAUAAACCCCAAGUCGAACUGAGCAAAUGAUUUAUUUAUUUAUUUCUUUUUGGGUAUUGGUCAAGUAACAAAUGGUUUAUAAAUUGAGGAUGGAUGUAUAUUUUGUUUUCUUUUAAUUAAUAACCAUUCAUGAAAUUCAAACUCAUAGCAUUCUCCAAUAGAAUGAAGAUCGAGUGUCGUUAAACCAAAUUACCAACUCUCUUAUUUGUAACAUUUACUGCACAUACUUACUCAAUGUAUGAAAUCAGAUCGACAAGAGGGUAAUUGUUCUGAUUCUCUUUCCUUACUUCUCCUAUUUUUAAGUUUUCAGAUUCAUUCAUUUUCUCAUUUCUUUUAAUUUAACAACCAUUCACAAAAUUCAAACUCAUGACAUUCUGCAAUAGAAUGCAGAUCGAGUGUCGCUAGACCAAAUUACCAACUCUCUCAUUUGUAAUAUUUAAUGUGCAUCCUUACUCAAUGUAUAAAAUCAAAUCUACGAGUGGGUAGUUGUUCUAAUUUCUUUUCGUUCUUCUAUUUUUAAGCUUUCCGAUUUCUCAUUUUUGUUAAGUAAACAUGCCUAUAUAUGCAAAUCAAAGAAGAUGAUAUCCCAAUAGAACACAAUAACGUGAGUCAGUGAGUGGAGAUAUUGUAGGAGUCAUUUACUAGGAAGGAUAUAUAUUGUGUUUAUUGUUUUCCUUGUACGACAAGGAUUGUAUGUGUAUAAAUUGUGAAGUGUUAGCGAAUAUCAUUUUUCUAAAGGGAGUUAAUAGUUAUGGCAGUUUUAGUACAUGAAGGUCGAGCUGCGCGCAAAUACAAAGUUUUCUACAAAUGUGUAUCAACGUUGCAUAUGACACACCCCAACCUGAAAAAUUCACUUGGACUCCAAAAAAAGUUGUGCUGGCCGACACCAAGAGGGUGACGAAGCCAUAAAGUAUAGUGAUGUGGGGAAAAUGUGAAUAAAUUUAAAUCUAAAAGUGUCUAAAUACGAGAGUGCACUGUGAGCGAAAAUGAACCCAUUUCACACAUGAUGUCAGAGCAUAAGUAAAGUACAGUAGAGUGGAUUGAGAAUCAUACCAUUGAAGGUAAUCUCCAAUACCAAAAUUUGCCCCGAAUCCUUGUCGAUAAGAAAGCUCAGCUAAAAAACCUGGAGGGUGGAAACAAAGUAAGGGUGAGUGGCCUUGGAAAUAAAAUUUUAAUAAAAACCUUCUAAGUCGUUAUAACCCCUCGUUGUAACACCUAUACAGUUUAAAAAAAAAUCAUACCACGUAUCAAUGUAAAAUCAAAAGUAUAUCAACAGUAAAUCCAUAAAAAUACCACGACACAGCAUCUCAUGAGCGAUAUAAAUAAUCAUGUGCUCAAUAAAUCAAUGCUAGCACAUAAGUCAGAGUCACCUAUAGUGACCUGUAUGAGUCAUCCAUCUCAUCAAUCAAUGCUAGCAUAUAAGUCGGAGUCACCUAUAGUGACCUGUACGACUCAUAGGCAACCUGUACAACAGUGUUAGAGUUGCCUAUAUAGCUCAUCUACCAAUUCCUGCACACGAGUCAGAACCACAUAAUGUGGUUUGUACGACAGGCUAGGUGUAAAUAAAUUCGCUCAAGUGCUAUGAUCACGUGAAGGCUAGGCCCUAUCCUCGGGCGGAGCAUUAACACCGAGGUGUAGGAUAAUGAGCAUUAAAUACAUAAAAACAUAACCAUGCACAUUGAAAUCACUGUUAUCAACAUGUACCCACCUGAAGCUUACCAGGGCAUCUACAGCGUCAUUUGGCAUAACCAUUUUAACGUCCUAACAUUCUUAAUCAAAACUAAACCCAGUGAUAGACCAUAAUAAAAUCAUGGUUAAUCUCUACGCUGUUAACCAUCAUAACUUCUUUCCUUAAAGAAACCAAGUACCAUGUUAAAUUUGGAUUGUUUUAUGGCUGCAUCUAACAGUCUUGUUAGACUGCCUACGUACCCUCAAACGAGAUCAAGCCAUUCAUAGUUCAACUUAGUACUUCAAAGCAUUCACAGUAAUUAUAUGCUGAUAAUAUGC